GGAGUAGCCUUCUAAGCCGGAGGUCGCGGGUUCGAAUCCCGCCGGGCCCGCCA
rnacentral:tRNA from 1 species